rnacentral:tRNA from 1 species
GGUCUGUAGCUCAGUUGGUUAGAGCGCAUCCCUGAUAAGGCUGAGGUCGGAAGUUCAAGUCUUCCCAGACCCACCA